rnacentral:rRNA from 1 species
GAUGAACGCUAGCGGGAGGCUUAACACAUGCAAGUCGAGGGGCAGCAUAGGGUAGCAAUACUCUGAUGGCGACCGGCAAACGGGUGAGUAACGCGUAUGCAACCUACCCUGUACAGGGGGAUAACCCGGAGAAAUUCGGACUAAUAUCCCGUAAUAAUAUCCGGAGGCAUCUUUGGAUAUUUAAAGUUCCGACGGUACGGGAUGGGCAUGCGUAACAUUAGCUGGUUGGUAAGGUAACGGCUUACCAAGGCUAUGAUGUUUAGGGGUCCUGAGAGGGUGGUCCCCCACACUGGUACUGAGACACGGACCAGACUCCUACGGGAGGCAGCAGUGAGGAAUAUUGGUCAAUGGGCGCAAGCCUGAACCAGCCAUCCCGCGUGCAGGAAGACGGCCCUAUGGGUUGUAAACUGCUUUUCCAGGGAGAGAAACUUACGCACGUGUUGCGUGACUGACGGUACCCUGGGAAUAAGCAUCGGCUAACUACGUG